rnacentral:rRNA from 1 species
AACAAGGAUUCCCCUAGUAACGGCGAGUGAAGCGGGAAGAGCUCAAAUUUGUAAUCUGGCACUUUCAGUGUCCGAGUUGUAAUCUCGAGAAGUGUUUUCCGCGCCGGACUGCAUACAAGUCUGUUGGAAUACAGCGUCAUAGUGGUGAGAACCCCGUAACUGAUGCAGAUGCCCGGGUGCUUUGUGAUACACUUUCGAAGAGUCGAGUUGUUUGGGAAUGCAGCUCAAAUUGGGUGGUAAAUUCCAUCUAAAGCUAAAUAUUGGCGAGAGACCGAUAGCGAACAAGUACCGUGAGGGAAAGAUGAAAAGCACUUUGGAAAGAGAGUUAACAGUACGUGAAAUUGUUGGAAGGGAAACGAUUGAAGUCAGACUUGUUAUCUGGAGUUCAGCCUUUCGGUGUACUCUCCAGUUUACAGGCCAGCAUCAGUUUUCGGGGCGGGAAAAUCGUAAUUUGAAGGUAGCAGCCUAGCUGUGUUAUAGCUUUUUACUGGAUUCCGCUUUGGGGACUGAGGAACGCAGUGUGCUUUUAGCAAUACCCUCGGGUAUUUCACACUAGGAUGCGGGAAGG